UGGGGAAUAUUGCACAAUGGGCGAAAGCCUGAUGCAGCGACGCCGCGUGAGGGAUGACGGCCUUCGGGUUGUAAACCUCUUUCAGUAGGGAAGAAGCCUUUGGGUGACGGUACCUGCAGAAGAAGCGCCGGCUAACUACGUGCCAGCAGCCGCGGUAAUACGUAGGGCGCGAGCGUUGUCCGGAAUUAUUGGGCGUAAAGAGCUCGUAGGCGGUUUGUCGCGUCUGCUGUGAAAUCCUCAGGCUCAACGUGAGGCGUGCAGUGGGUACGGGCAGACUAGAGUGCGGUAGGGGAGACUGGAAUUCCUGGUGUAGCGGUGGAAUGCGCAGAUAUCAGGAGGAACACCGAUGGCGAAGGCAGGUCUCUGGGCCGUUACUGACGCUGAGGAGCGAAAGCAUGGGGAGCGAACA
rnacentral:rRNA from 1 species